ensembl:miRNA
AGUGAGAAGCAGGUGCUCCAGUGGCGCAAUCGGUUAGCGCGCGGUACUUAUACAGCAGUAUGUGUGCGAGGGAUGCCGAGGUUGUGAGUUCGAGCCUCACCUGGAGCAUCGUUUUC